UACGGGGGGUGCAAGCGUUAAUCGGAAUCACUGGGCGUAAAGCGUGCGUAGGCGGUAAGUUAAGUCUGCUGUGAAAUCCCUGGGCUCAACCUGGGAAUGGCGGUGGAUACUGGCUUGCUGGAGUACGGUAGAGGAAGGUGGAAUUCCCGGUGUAGCGGUGAAAUGCGUAGAGAUCGGGAGGAACAUCAGUGGCGAAGGCGACCUUCUGGACCAGUACUGACGCUGAGGCACGAAAGCGUGGGGAGCAAACAGG
rnacentral:rRNA from 1 species